CACAUCAUGUAAACGUAAUUAUAUACAAAACACAACGUUCAGUAUUCAGCCAUUAUACAAACCACGUGACCCAUAUUAGGCAGUUGCCCCAUUAUGCAGACGAUAGAUCCAUAGUCAUCCCUCCAAAGAAAAAAGAGUCGCCAGACGAGACGAUCUCAAGGCUAUAGUUUUAUUUCCCUCAGCGUAAAUAUUGCUUUUGGAUUACGGAAGCUUCCAGAAAGUAAGGAGGUAGACUCCCCGAACGUAAUUUUUGUGUACGGACGCAAAUAGUGAUGCUUUCGAGCAAGCAGGCAAGCAAAUGCUUUUCCUAUUGAUUACGUUUAAUUCGUCACGUGAUACAGCGCCAUAUAGGCCUACCUGUCCUCCUUCAGGUAUACACAGUGGUCUCACCUGGCUGAUCAGUUCAUGACUGUUUCUGGUCCUUUUAUAUUAGACUGACAAGGGCCGUCACCAGGUUUCGCCGUCUGUUUGCUCAGCACCUACCGUGUAUAAGAUGAAGAACGUGGCUGUCGUUCUUGUUUUACUUGUAGUCAGUAUAAACAGCGGAGUGGGGCAAUCGGCACAGUCCAGUGAACCUGAGCAGUGUCUGGGAGAUUUGCAGUGGACGUCCUGUGGGACACCGUGUCCACUGGUAUGUGGGAAAAAGAAAGCAGACUUCUGUAUGGAGGAGUGUGUCCGCGGCUGCGCAUGCCCACGGGGCAAGGUCAGGGUCACGGAGACCAGCAGCCAGUGCGUGGAAAGCAGGGAGGACUGCCCGUAGUGAAACGGCGGCCACUUUUGUUAGAGCAUUUUGGCAACUACUUCUCAUGUAUGGUGUAUACCUAAAUAAAAUAUGACAAACAACGUAAAGGUUGUCACCAGUUAUUUAUUUGUUAUUUUGGCUAUGUG